CCUUAUGGCUGAGCAAAGAAAGUGGUUUCUUGAAAUAGAAUCUACCUUUGCUGAAGUGCUGUGAA
rnacentral:pre_miRNA from 1 species